rnacentral:rRNA from 1 species
AAGAUUAAGCCAUGCAUGUCUAAGUAUAAGCAAUUUAUACAGUGAAACUGCGAAUGGCUCAUUAAAUCAGUUAUCGUUUAUUUGAUAGUUCCUUUACUACAUGGUAUAACUGUGGUAAUUCUAGAGCUAAUACAUGCACUGAAAUCCCGACUUCUGGAAGGGAUGUAUUUAUUAGAUAAAAACCAACCCGGGCAACCGGUUCUUUGGUGAUUCAUGAUAACUUUUCGAAUCGCAU